UCACGGUCCCAAUUCGCUCUCCAUAAACUGUCGUGAUGCCACCUAGUCUCUACGAUUAGAUAAACCUAAAAAUGUGGAAGAAAUAAUUAAAACCAAAAAUAACAAAAGGAAAACAGUAUUUAAAAUGCCGCUCGGCAUUACAAUACAACUUCUCGAAACUAACAGUAUUUCUCAAAACGCGAAAUCUCAUGAAACCACAAGCAUUUGAAUAUCUAUCAGUGUCUACUCCAGAAUAUCUAACAGGGAAAAAAUACAGAAGGUCUAAUACAUAAAAAAGAGAGUAGAGAGGGACUCCUCGGUCUGUGGACGUGGCAGAUAUACCACGAAAUCUGUGGAACAGUCGCCUCACCUCAAAAGUGAUAGGACUGAGUCGAAGUACUUGGAUCUACAUAUGCACAAAAAGUGUAUGAGUACACCACAGCGGUACUUAGUAAGUGUCAAGUCAAACCUCGAUCGGGUAGUGACGAGGAAGUCAGGGCCCCACUGAGGUUAAAUAAAAUGUUUAGUUCCACAGUGUAGAAUAGAGCACUAUAAAUAAGUACAUCAAAAGUAGCACGGAUAUAAAGGACAACAACAUCAACUACAGAGACAAAGUAAAUACAGAGAGAAAAAUACGGCUCAACACAAAGAUAACAACGGGGGAUCUCCAAUGAUACUGUCUUCUAGUCCCAAAUAGAAAUAUCCAGUGGAUCACCCGGGAUACCGUCCCGUAGUCCAACUCAUAAUACGAGAGGAUCUCCCGGAAUACCAAUCCGUAGUCCCAAAUGUAUCGGUACAGGGAGAAUCUACCAGGUGCAGUCCUGUAGUUUCAUUGUAAAUGUGCAGGGUGGGUCUCCUGGAAUACCGCUCCGUAAUCCAAAAAUAAACAUACAGGGGGAUCUCCCGGGAUACCGUCCCGUCGUUCCAAAGUAAAACAUGCAGCAACAAUACAAGGAAUACUCACGUAAGCUCAAUUCUGUACCAAGUAAAAUAGGUAAUUCUAACCUAACAUGCUUCACGUAAUGCAAUUAAUAUGAUUUAAGCAAAUAAGCAAUUAAAUAAUCAAAACAUGUUUUUCUAAGCUAACAACAAGCUUAGAUUGCAAGUAGUAUAAAAUAGAAAAGCAGAACACAAUUGAAACUACUUAAAGAAAAUCGCAUUUGCAACAAUUAGUUCAAGUACGCACUCGGCAGCUCACGUACAAGGCAUUUCAAUUAUCAAAUACACUGAAUCUUAAGGGGAAGGUCCCCCACACAAGGUUAGGCAAGUCACUUACCUCGAACCACCUCAAAUCAAUCCAAAACCAUGCUCUUGCCACGAGUACUCAACUCAAAAUAAACCAAAUCUAUUCAAUUCAAUUGCACAUUGUAACUAACAUUUUACGUAACUGAUUCUGCAAUUAUAUUCUAAGCUAAUACGCGAAAUUAGGUAAAAUAACCAAAACGUCCCUCGGUCCCACGUCUCGAAAUCGGGUGAAAUUUAUAUUUUCAGAAUCCUCAUACUCUCACGAGUUCAUGCAUACCAAAAUUAUCCAAAUAUAAUGUCAAAUUCCCAAUCAAAAUUCGAAUUCUAGGUCUAAGAACUUUCUUCCAACUUUUCCCCAAUUUUCAUCUCCAAUCCGACAUUAAAUGAUGAAACUAAAUAUAGAUUGAUGGAAUAUAACUAGAAAGGGUUAAAGAAUUGCUACCCAAUAAUUUUCUCCCAAAAUCACCCUCUUCCGAGCUCCAAUUUGAUUUUUUUCAAGUUUUGAACCAAUUCCUCAAAUUUUUAUAUUUCUGCCUAGAAAUUACCGCAUAUGCGGUCAAGGGAACGCUCCUAUGGUCCCGCUCAUGUAGAAGAAUGCACUGCAGGUGCAAAUAUUCACUUAACGGGCUAGGUUCACAUCUACGGUCGCUUGGUCGCAUCUACGGCACCGUAUUUGCAAAAAUCCAGCCACACCUGCGGAAUCCUUGAGCUUGGCCCAAACUCGCUUCUGCAGUCACUUAGCCGCUUUUGCGGCGCCGCACUUGCGGUCCCACACACGCAGUUGCGGUUAUGACAGGUUCAGCAAACUCAAUUUCUCCCUAAGUCCAAUUCUACUUCCAUUAAGCAUCCGAAACUCACCCGAGGCCCCUAGACCUCUACCAAUUAUACCAACCAGUCCUAUAAUAUCAAACGAACGUAUUCCAACCCUCGAAUCGUAUCAAACAACACUAAAACCACAAAUCACUCUCCAAUCCAAGCCUAAGAAUUUUCAAAACUUCCAAAGUACGCUUUUGAUCAAAAAGUCUAUCUAACCUCAUCCGAAUGACAUGAAAUUUUGCACACACAUCAGAUUCAACACUAUGGAGCUACUCCAACUUAUGAAAUUCCAUUUCGACCCUCGGAUCAAGAUCUCACCGUGAUAGAGACAUAACUGAAGUAGUGAUCGAUCUCACCGUGAUAGAGACAUAACUGAAGUAAUGUUCGAUCUCACCGUGAUCGACCGGCUUGUUACAUCCUCCCACACUUAAACAUUCAUUCGUCCUCAAACGAGCAUAGAGACAUAACUGAAGUAGUGAAAAGAUGAGGGUAUCGGCUACGCAUAUCCCGCUCGGUCUCCAAGGUUGCUUCCUCGACAGACUGACCCCGAUACUAAACCUUUACUGAUGCAAUGUUAUUUGACCGCAGCUUUCGAAUCUGCCUCUCCAACAUCGCCAUUGGCUCCUCAACAUAUGAUAGAUCCUUGUCCAACUAGACUAAACUAAAAUGCAACACGUGCGAUGGGUCACCGUGAUACCUCCGUAGCAUCAAAAUAUGAAAUAUCGGAUGAACUCCUUCCAAGCUGGGAGGUAAGGCGAGCUCAUAAGCAACCUCCCCAACACGCCUCAAUAUCCUCGAACUCAAUUUCCUUUCUUCCCAAAUCUCAUAAUGCCCUUCAUAGGUGAAACCCAUAGCAGAACCCGCUCUCCAAUCAUAUAGGAAACAUCACGAACCUUCCGGUCCGCGUAACUCUUCUGUCUGGACUAGUUGUACGGAGUCUAUCCCUAAUCACCGUAACUUUCUCCAAAGCAUCCUGAACCAAGUCUGUGUCCAAUAAUAUGGCCUCACCCGGCUCAAACCAACCCACCGGGAAUCUACACUGCCUACCAUAUAAAGCCUCAUUACGGUGCUAUAUGAAUGUUGGACUAAUAGUUGUUGUUGUAAGCAAACUCCGCCACUAAAAGGAACUGAUCCCAAGACCUUCCAAACUCAAUCACACACGCAUGGAGCAUAUCCUCAAGAAUAAAAAUAGUACACUCGGACUGCUAGUCUAUCUGAGGGUGAAAUGAUGUGUUCAACUCUACCUGAGUAUCCAACUCAUGGUGAAUGGCCCUCCAGAACGAUGAUGUGAACUGAGUACCUCUAUCUGAAAUGAUGGAAGCUGGAAUACCAUGCAGACAAACAAUCUUUCAGAUAUAAAUAUUCGCCAAAUGCUUCGAAGAAUAAGUAGUACACAUAGGAAUGAAGUGCGCGAACUUGGUCAGCUGAUCCACAAUCAUACAAAUGGCAUUGAACUUCUUCAAAGUCCAGGAGAGUCCAACUACUAAAUCCAUGAUGAUCCUCUUCCACUUCCACUCCGGAAUCUCUAUCUAUUGAAGCAAUCCACCUGGUCUCUGGUGCUCAUAAUUCACCUGAUGAUAAUUGAGGCACCGAGCUACGAAUCUAACUAUGACUUUCUUCAUCCGCCUCCACAAAUAGUGCUGCCUCAAAUCCUGAUACAUAUUCACAGAACCCGGAUGAUGGAAUUCCGCGAACUGCGGUCCUCCUCUAAAAUCAACUCCCGAAGCCCAUCAAUAUUGAGUACACAAAUUUGACCCAGUAUCCUCAAUACCACAUCAUCACUAAUAUUCACAUCUCUGGCAUCAUCGCACUGAACCUUGUCCUUGAUGACAAGAAAAUGAGGGUCCCUGAUACGAUCAAAUAAGGAAGACCGGGAAACUACGCAAGCUAGAACCCAACUAGGCUCCGAAAGAUCCAAUCUCACAAACUGCCUGGCUAAGGCCUCAACAUCCAUCGCUAUGGGCCUCUCCGAUGUUGGUAAAUAAGGCAAAUUCCCCAAACUCUCUGCCUGAUGACUCAAGGCAUCGACCACCACAUUAGCCUUGCCUGAGUGAUACAGAAUAGUGAUAUCAUAGUCCUUCAGCAACUCUAGACAUCUCCUAUGGUGCAAAUUUAGAUCAUUGUGCUUGAACAGGUGCUGCAAGCUCCGAUGAUUAGUGUAAAUCUCACAAGAAACAUCGUACAAAUAAUGACGCCAGAUCUUCAAGGCGUGAACAAUAUCAACUAACUCAAAGUCAUGGACAUGAUAAUUCUUCUCAUGUAAUUUCAACUAUCUAGACACGUAGACAAUCACCCUACCGUCUUACAUCAAUAACGCUCCAAGGCCAAUCCUCAAGGGAUUACAAUAGACAGUAUAAGACCCCAAACUUGUAGGCAAUAUCAAAACUGGGGCUGUAGUCAAAGAUGUCUUGAGCUUCUGAAAGCUCGCCUCACACUCUUCCGUUUAUUGGAACGGAGCACCCUUCUGGGUCAGUCUGGUCAUAAGUGUUGUAAUAGAUGAAAACCCCUUAUCGAAUCUACAGUAAUAACCCUCCAAGCUAAGAAAACUACAGAUCACUGUAGUUGAUGAUUGUCUGCGCCAACUCUGUAUUGCCUUUACUUUCUUUGGAUCCAGCCGUAUACCCUCACUCGACACCACAUGACCCAAGAAAGCCACGUAAUCCAACCAAAACUCACAUUUCGAGAACUUUGCAUGUAACUUCUUUUCCCUCAAAGUUUGAAGCACUGUCUCAGGUAGUGCUCAUGAUCUUCUGGACUCCGGGAGUAUACAAGAAUAUCAUUAAUAAAGACAAUGACAAACGAAUCAAGAUAUGGUUGGAACAGACUGUGCAUCAAAUGCAUACAUGCUGCUGGGGCACUGGUCAGCCCAAAUGACAUAACAAGGAACUCAUUAUGACCUUAUCGAGCCUAGAAGGCAGUCUUCAGGAUAUCUGGAUUCCGAAUCUUCAACUGAUGGCAACCUGAGCGCAAGUCAAUCUUAGAAAACACUCGUGGGCCCUAAAGUUGGUCAAACAGAUCAUCAAUGUGAAGCAAAGGAUAGUGUUUCUUUACAGUAACUUUGUGCAACUGGCGAUAAUUAAUACACAUGCGCAUAGAACCAUCCUUUUUCUUCAUAAACAAGACAAGAGCACCCCAAAGUGAUACACUUGGACGAAUAAAACCCUUAUCAAGCAAUUCCUAUAACCGAUCUUUCAACUCCUUCAACUUAGGAGGAGCCAUACGAUAUAGAGGAAUAGAAAUGGGUUGAGUGCCCGGCAACAUAUAAAUGCCAAAAUCAAUAUUUCAGGCGACAUGCCUAGAAGGUGAGGUGGAAACACAUCAGCAAAAUCCCGUACUAUCGGUUCUGAAUCAACAGAAGGGGUCGGGACUAAAUCAACAUAAGGGGUAUCGAUACUAACAUCUCUCACAUAAGCUAGAUAUGUGUCAUACCCAUUCUCAACCAUAUGACGAGCCUUAAGGAAAGAAAUAACUCUACUAGGAGUGUGAUCUAAAGCACCCCUCAAGUCCACACGUGGUACAUCUGGCAUAGCCAGCAACACGAUUUUGGCGUGACAAUCAAGAAUAGCAUAAUGAAGUUGUCACACCUCCUUUUUCACUACACCCCGCUAGGGCGUAAAGGAGUUUUUCCAAUUAAAGGACAGUGAGAAUGAGAUUUAAUUAUUAAGAUUUCAGAGUCACCACCUGGGAGAUUAAUGGUGUCCCAAGUCACUGGUUGAAUCCCGGACUGAGGAAAAAUAUGACUUUGUAUUACAAUCUGCGAACCAGAAAUUCGGAUAAGGAAUUCUAUUAACCCGGGAGAAGGUGUUAGGCAUUCCCGGGCUCCGUGGUUCUAGCACGGUCGCUCAACUGUUGUAUUUGAUUUUAUCUGAUUUUAAUACAUGCUAGCUUAUAUGCCUUUAUUCGUAAACCACUUUUGUCAUUAUUUAUUUUAAAAAAAUUGCGAUGUCGUAAAAACGCUCUUAGAACCACGUCACAAUCAAUGCAUGUGUGGUUGUCAACUCAUUUCGACUUCGUCGAGAUUUGGAUUUGGGUCGCAUCAUGCGCACCCAAGUUGAAGAAAGUAAUUUAAUUAAAUCACACCUAAAGAUUCUAACGUAGUAUUAUUUUGGUAAAGGCCGUGAAGUUCGCUAAAUGACCCUCCCGAAUUCUAAGAAUUUUAAAAGAUAUAAUUAAGCGAGGGCCACACAUUUGUAUUUUUAUUUGGUGAGACUCGUCUCAUUUGUUUUAAGGGCAAAUCUAAAGUAACUAGGAUUUUUUAAUUAAUUAUGUCUCUAAGAUAAAAGGGAAGAAUCCUUAAUUAAUGAUUGUUACAUAGGAAAGAGAGAAAAUCAAGUCCUGUUGCUUGAAGUAUUAGUGGCCCAACUUUUAUAUCUUAAUUUCAGGCCCAAGUAGUCCAUUCCAUACGACCCGCUUGGCUUAAACCCAUCAGACCUCCGGCAGGAGGUCUGGGAUCGAUUCCCAGGCUUGGACAAUCCAGGAUUUAUUUUCCAAACUAAAACCAAUCACUUUCGUAAAAUAGGCCAUCCACCACAGUUCUGAGGCCCAAGUAAUUUCAAUAGGACAACAAUAAGAUCCAAAAUAGUCCCUAGUAAUCCACACUCCAACAGGAAAUAAUUUCUAACAAUGAAAUUACAUAUUUCAGGUGAGCUUAGGAACGAACUCGGUUCAGUUUUCAAUUUAUAUGACUAUGCACCUGAGUUAUUUCAAUUCUACCAACCAAUAUUGCAUUCACAUAUUUUACUUCUAAAUCAAAUUAUUGCUAAAGCCUAUUGCAUUCACAUAUUCAUGUUAGGAUUUCAAAUCACUUCUAACUAAUGUUCAGUCUAAUACAAAUUUCAAAUCCAAAAAUUCAUACAGUCUUAAUUCUAAAGUGUACUAGAAAUCUACAGCCACAUGCUAAGCUAAUAGGAAAAUUAAGAGGCAAAUUCAUGUUAUAACAGUGCUUCAUCCUUUGAUUUCAUAGUCGUUCAAGUACAAUGAAUGAAGCUUCAAAGCAUUAAAGACGAUGAAUGUACCUGGAAUUGGCAUAGUGAAAAGGAAAAUAAGAUCAGCAAAUCACAGCCACUAUAUCAACGAGAGAGCACAGCUCACACACAACCCAUUCUCAGUUUAAAUCAUAACAGAAUCACCAGAAAUGAUAACUGAGUGAAAGUAACAAUAUACCAACUAAAACCACCUGGAUUUCCUACCAAACUUGUGUAAAAUCAAAGCCAGUGACCCUACGGAGCUUCAACAAACAGUCAUCGAUCCAGAAACCAUUGAAUUAACCAAAUGCAAUUUAAAACGACCAACACAACUCAAAUAAACCCAAAACUAACUCGAAUCUAAAUCUGGACACCUCUGAAGCUUCCAGCUAACAUAUAUGUCAAUUAUAACCAGCUUAAACAGAUCCAAAAACUACAGGAAACCAAACUAACAACUCUCUGAAAUUUCAAAACCCCAACGUUGAAUAAAAAACUGAAAAAUCAGCAACUAGAAUAGAAAUUAGCUUGAGUUCUCUAAUAGAACAGUAGUUUUUUGGGGUUUUUUAUUAGAUUUUCCCCUGUUCUUUUUUUUUUUUUGAAGUUUUUCUAUUGUUUUUGGUUUUUCCUUUUGAAGAAUGCUAAUAUCUAAAAGGAUUUGAAUCUGAAAUUUUCAUUCUCAGAUCUGUGUAGUUUUAAGAGUAUUUGGGGGGAGGGGGGGGGGGUUUAGG
rnacentral:lncRNA from 1 species